UACGAAGGGGGCUAGCGUUGCUCGGAAUUACUGGGCGUAAAGGGCGCGUAGGCGGAUAUUUAAGUCAGGGGUGAAAGCCCGGGGCUCAACCUCGGAAUUGCCUUUGAUACUGGAUAUCUUGAGUUCGGGAGAGGUGAGUGGAACUGCGAGUGUAGAGGUGAAAUUCGUAGAUAUUCGCAAGAACACCAGUGGCGAAGGCGGCUCACUGGCCCGGUACUGACGCUGAGGUGCGAAAGCGUGGGGAGCAAACAGG
rnacentral:rRNA from 1 species